rnacentral:rRNA from 1 species
GACGAACGCUGGCGGCGUGCCUAACACAUGCAAGUCGAACGGAAAGGCCCUGCUUUUGUGGGGUGCUCGAGUGGCGAACGGGUGAGUAACACGUGAGUAACCUGCCCUUGACUGUGGGAUAACUUCAGGAAACUGGGGCUAAUACCGGCGAGGAGCUCCUGCUGCAUGGUGGGGGUUGGACAGUUUCGGCGGUUGGGGAUGGACUGGCGGCUUAUCAGCUUGUUGGGGGGGUAGUGGCUUACCAAGGCUUUGACGGGUAGCCGGCCUGAGAGGGUGACCGGCCACAUUGGUACUGAGAUACGGCGCAGACUCCUACGGGAGGCAGCAGUGGAGAAUAUUACACAAUGGGCGGGAGCCUGAUGCGGCAACGCCGCGUGCGGGAUGACGGCCUUCGGGUUGUAAACCGCUUUCGCCUGUGACGAAGCGUGAGUGACGGUAAUGGGUAAAGAAGCACCGGCUAACUACGUG